rnacentral:rRNA from 1 species
AAUUUUCGGCAAUGGGGGCAACCCUGACCGAGCGACGCCGCGUGAGUGAAGAAGGUCUUCGGAUUGUAAAGCUCUGUUGUGAGGGAAGAACCGUACCAGUAGGGAAUGACUGGUACCUGACGGUCCCUUACCAGCAAGCCACGUCUAACUACCUGCCAGCCGCCGCGGUAAUACGUAGGGGGCAAGCGUUAUCCGUCAUUAUUGGGCGUAAAGGGAGCGCAGGCGGCUUAUUAAGUCUGAGGUUAAAGUUCGCGGCUCAACCCCGUGAUGCCUUAGAAACUGGUAGGCUAGAGUGCAGGAGAGGUGAGUGGAAUUCCAUGUGUGGCGGUAAAAUGCGUAGAUAUAUGGAGGAACACCAGUGGCGAAGGCGGCUCACUGGCCUGUAACUGACGCUGAGGCUCGAAAGCGUGGGGAGCAAAUA